rnacentral:rRNA from 1 species
GACGUAGGGCGCGAGCGUUGUCCGGAUUUAUUGGGCGUAAAGAGCUCGUAGGCGGCUUGUCGCGUCUGCUGUGAAAACUCGGGGCUUAACUCCGGGCCUGCAGUGGGUACGGGCAGACUAGAGUGCGGUAGGGGAGACUGGAAUUCCUGGUGUAGCGGUGAAAUGCGCAGAUAUCAGGAGGAACACCGGUGGCGAAGGCGGGUCUCUGGGCCGAUACUGACGCUGAGGAGCGAAAGCGUGGGGAGCGAACAGG